GACGAACGCUGGCGGCGCGCUUAACACAUGCAAGUCGAGCGACGCGGCGGACGGGUGAGUAACACGUGAGUAACCUGCCUUAGACAUUGGGAUAGCCUCGGGAAACCGUGAUUAAUACCAAAUGGUCUAAGAUGGCCUCGCGUCCCAUUAGCUAGUUGGUGAGGUAACGGCCCACCAAGGCGACGAGGGGUAGCCGGCCUGAGAGGGUGAACGGCCACAAUGGAACUGAGAAACGGUCCAAACUCUACGGGAGGCAGCAGUGGGGAAUAUUGCACAAUGGAGGGAACUCUGAUGCAGCGACGCCGCGUGAACGAAGAAGGCUUUCGAGUCGUAAAGGUCUGUUGUUAGAGAAGUGGUAGGAGUGGAAAGCUACAAUGCGUACUAACCAGAAAGGGACGGCUAACUACGUGCCAGCAGCCGCGGUAAUUC
rnacentral:rRNA from 1 species